rnacentral:lncRNA from 1 species
CCCCAAUGAUGUCCCCAAUGUCCCCUGUGAUGUCCCCAGGCUCGGAGCACAGCUGGCAGUGUGUCUGCAAUGUCCCCUGUGAUGUCCCCAAUGUCCCCUGGGUGUCCCCAGUGAUGUCCCCAAUGUCCCCACUGAUGUCCCCAAUGUCCCCACUGAUGUCCCCAAUGUCCCCAGGCUCGGAGCACAGCUGGCAGUGUGUCUGCACCCUGUCCGGGUACCACGGCCGCAGCAUCUACGACGUGGCCUGGUGAGCACCGGGGACAUCUGGGGACACCCCCCUGGGGCCCUCCAGAUGCCACCACGCUGGUGGCCCCUCCAAGUGCCACCUCCCCAGGGCCUUGUGCCCCACAGGUGCCACCUGUCCCGUACCUGUCCCCAUCCCUGCCCAGGUGCCACCCGUCCCUGUCCCCUCCAUGGCGCUGGGUGUCACCCAUCCCCAUCCCUGUCACCUCCAUGACUCCAGGUGCCACCUGACCCUGUCCCUGUCCCCUCCAUGGCCCCAGGUGCCACCUGUCUCCAUCCCCAUCCCUGCCCAGGUGCCACCUGACCCUGUCCCUGUCCCUGUGCCCUCCAUGGCGCUGGGUGUCACCCAUCCCAAUCCCUGUCCCCUGUCCUCGUGCCCUCCAUGAUGCCAGGUGCCACCUGUCCCCAUCCCCAUCCCUGCCCAGGUGCCACCUGUCCCUGUCCCUGUCCCUGUCCCUUCCAUGGCCUCAGGUGCCACCCAUCCCUAUCCCUGCCCAGGUGCCACCUGUCCCUGUCCCCAUCCCCAUCCCUAUCCAGAUGCCACCUGUACCUGUCCCUGUCCCCAUCCCUGUCCCCUCCAUGACUCCACGUGCCACCCAUCCCCAUCCCUGUCCCUGUCCCCUGUCCCCUCCAUGGUCCCAGGUGCCACCUGUCCCCAUCCCUGUCCCCAUCCCUGUCCCCUCCAUGUCCCCUCCAUGUCCCCGUCCCUGUCCCUGUCCCCAUCCCCAUCCCUGCCCAGGUGCCACCUGUCCCCAUCCCCGUCCCCGUGCCCUCGGUGGCCCCAGGUGCCAGCCGUCCCCGUCCGGUGCCCGCAGGUGCCGCCUGUCCCCAUCCCCGUCCCCGUGCCCUCGGUGGCCCCAGGUGCCAGCCGUCCCCGUCCGGUGCCCGCAGGUGCCACCUGACGGGCGCGGUGGCCACGGCGUGCGGCGACGACGCCGUGCGGGUGUUCGAGGAGGCGGCCCCGGCGGCGCCGGGCUGGCCGGUGACCUUCGGGCUGGCGGCGCAGGCGCGGCGGGCGCACGCCCAGGACGCCAACGGCGUGGCCUGGCACCCGCGGGAGCCGGGGCUGCUGGCGUCCUGCGGCGACGACGGCACCGUCGCCUUCUGGCGCUACCAGCGCCCCGACGGCCUCUGAGGGACGCCGGGACCUCCGGAGGGCUCCAGGACCUCCCGGGGACCUCCACAGGGCUCCAGGACCUCCCGGGGUCCUCCGGAGGGCUCCAGAACCUCCCCAGGACCUCCGGAGGGCUCCAGGACCUCCCCGGGACCUCCGGAGGGCUCCAGGACCUCCCCGGGACCUCCGCAGGGCUCCAGGACCUCCCAGGGACCUCCGGAGGGCUCCAGGACCUCCCCGGGACCUCCGGAGGGCUCCAGGACCUCCCCGGGACCUCCAGAACCUCCCCCAGACCUCCAGGAGCCUCCAGAACCUCCCCAGGACCUCCAGGAGCCUCCAGAACCUCUCCAGGUCCUCCAGGACCUGCAGAGGGCUCCAGAACCUCCCCAGGAGCCUCCAGAAACCUUCUGGGACCUCCAGAACCUCCCAAGGUCCUCCAAAACCUCCUGUGGGCUCCGCGAUCACAGAACGUUCUCCAGCACCUCCCCACGGCCUCCAAGAAGCUUCCCAAGUUCUCCACGGCCCUGUCACGUUCUCCAGAACCUUCCCAACUUUUCCAGGACCCCCCAAAGCCCUCCAGGACCCCCCAAAGCCCUCCAGGACCCCCCAAAGUUCUCCGGAACGUUCCCGUCCCCGGUGGGGUUUGGGGUCCCACAGCCAAUAAACGCCGGGAUCCCACAGGAGCCCCCAGGUCGGGAUCCGUCGGGAUUUGGGAUCCGGGAAUUUGA